ACCUAAAAGAGCAUAAUGGGUGCCCCUAUGGAAAGCAGAGAAAAGGAUCAAGAUGACGAGUGCCUGUAUUGUGGCGAUGUUUAUUCGCAGUCUAUUGACUGGUGGUUCCGGUAUUCGUCUUGCUUGAAAUGGGGCCAUAACUCAUGUGCAGUUGUUGAUAGUGACUAUGAUGAAGAGGUGCAUCUGUGUUAGGCCUGAGGAGAUUUAAAAUGUGAAACUUGACAAACUCUUCAAGAAGAAGAAGAAGAAGAGGAGCAAAUCAAAGAACAGGAAAAUGAAGAAUGGUGAGAGUGGUGACACUAGUUCAUGUAGUGAAAUAUUUAAAGGAAGAAAUGAAAUCACAUAAGGAGAAAAGGAGAGUGAAGAAAGAUAAACAUAAACAAAGUGAAAUUCAUUACCAAAACGUGGUAAUCAAGAAGGAGCAAUCAACACUGAGCAGUGCAUCAGAGUCACAUAAUAAGACUCCGGAAAGUGUUUAUGGGAGAAGCAUUGAUUUUGCUGUUCACCGCAGUAUGCACCAAUGGCAUCAAGCAACUUGCGAGAGAACAUCUAACAAGGAUUACAGAAAGACUGCCAGACUGAAAAUAAGACAGGAUGGAUUCAUGAGUGGAAGUAUCUGAUUGGUGGAGCCGUGCGGUUUUGACGCAUGAGAUACUGUCAUGAGCUACACCUUUUGAAGCAGAGAAAUCAACCACCAGAUGAUAUUUGAGUGAGUCUCAGCAUUUGGAAGCAGAUUGGAUAUCCAUGUUCCCUGUGAACAGCAAGUUUUUUUUAACAAUUUGUAACUUUCUGUGGUUUGACGUAGAUGUACAUCUGGCAUUUAACUUCCCAUCUGCGGUUCGACAUACACCCCACAUCCAGCUGUAAGCCUA